AAAACAACUCUCAGCAACGGAUAUCUUGGCUCUUGCAACGAUGAARAACGCAGCGAAAUGCGAUACGUAGUGKGAAUUGCARAAUUCCGCGAAUCAUCGAGUCUUUGAACGCAAGUUGCGCCCGAGGCUUGUCCGAGGGCAUUUCCGCUAGAGCGUCACC
rnacentral:rRNA from 1 species